UGCCGCCUGCUCUCCUUCAGGGUGCUUGUAUCCCUGCUUCUCUCCUACCCACCCUGCCUAAGAUCCUCUACUGCUCCUUCAAUAAACCUGGUUGGACCCUUAGCAGAGUGUGCAGAGUCCUCCGUCUUCGUCUGGUUGGACCUUUUUGAGCUACCUGGGAUUGUGUGCGCGUGAGGAGAAUUGAGGAGACAGCUCUCCUGGGAGUUGGACCACCUGCCCAGGAUUCCCUCAAGUAGGAGAGGCUUGAGAGGGUCGUCUCAUCCCCUCUGCAGCAGCCACAAAUCCUACACUGAAGCUCCCCUCACCUGGUCUCACAGCAGAGCCCAUAGCCAGCACCUGUGUACCCAGCAAGAAGAGAGGACAUGUGGGCAUGCUGUGUUGGGACAAUGAUGGAUCACAAAGCCAUGCAAGAGUUGCAGCUGAGAUGGAAGUUCCAAGUUCUUGGUUAGGUGACAUUUUCCUUGUGUCUCAUCCCAGAGGAAGGAAGUGAGACUUGGUGUCAGUCUGCAAUGUGAGGAUAAUUUUGCUGAGGAACACCAGUGGGUCUGUUCAGGCUUCUCUACUGACAAAGAUGGAGAACCACACCAGUUUUUUUGGUAAUUAGUAGUUUUCUACUUUUCUGUACCUUGAUGCUUUUGAGUGUUAGUUCCUAUGUGUAAACAUCAGGUUUAGCAACCAAAUCAGGUGUAUUUUGCACAGCAACUGAGGAAGAUUUUGACUCUUUUCUGGAGAAUACAAUUCCUGUCUCAGGCUGGCUGAUGAGAGAGUGUCUAAUUAACACAUAAAUCUCAUAAAAUAUACUGGCAUGCUUAUCUUCUGUCAGAGCAGGGAUGUAGAACCAGCCUUUUACUCAAUCAUGUCCAAAUCCACAGUGUUUCUUUACCAUUGAGGAAGAAAUAUUAAGCAUUAUUUCAUCAAGUCCUCAUCUCUUCAUCAUGCCUUGAAGAGAAGAGACCAAGCUAAAUCCCAGCGUCACUGAAGAAAACAGAAGGGCUUUUACUUUAUCUGGGAGGCUCAGAUCCAGCACUAUGUGAAUACAGAUUUGGCAGCUUAUGACUUUAUCUUGAACCAGGGAAGGUUAAUUCUGGAAGAAGCUCUCCUGUAUGACAAGAACACCUCUUCUGUUAAAGGAUGAGAUUUAGAAAACUGUUGUUGGCCCUGUGCAAUGUUACUGUUGGAGAAAAUGAUACAAGAAACCCAGCUGAUGUUUCCAGGGAGAAAACAAUGUGCCUCCUUCCUUGAAAUGCACAAGGCAUCUCUUGUACUAUAAUUCCAGGCUGGAUCAUCUGCCAGUAUAAGAAGACACUGCACAUAAUUAAAAUCAAUACUGAUGUGUAGAUUUAUGCCUGCUGGAGAUCUAGUUCUCUACUUCAAGCAUCCAAACCCAAGAAGGAACUUGGAGGCAAUUUAGAUAAGAAACACCAACUUCACAAAGAGCCAACAUAACUGAUUUCUGAGCAAAGGUAAGCAGAGCAUUCCUAAAGAAUGGAUCACAACAUAUUAGGGUGCAGGAUGUUAGGAAGACCUUAUUGCUCCUAGGAUUGUGUUUUGUUAAAAAGGAAGCACAUCCAGAGGGAAGGACAGGAUGUAACUUAGUGAUGGACAAAAUCCAGAAGGGUAAAAUGAAAAUGAAUAACAGCAAAUAUCUUCAGUGGCAUUGGUAAUUGAACAUGGCACAGUUUUGUUAAGGAUAAUGACAAAGACAUGCAGCUAUGAUACCAUGAAAGUAGAGGCAGAUAAAUCUCUAAAACGUUCCAUGUACACUCAACUUUAGUGGGAUUUUUUUCACCUUUUAUCAUCUGAAAGUUUUGUGUGAUACAGCCUUUUAUUUAUAUUGUGUUAUUCUAUCCAGUAAGAGCAGAUGAUAAUCAGUUGAAAGAGCAUUUAUCUGUUUUUCCUUGGAUUCCUUUGUAGGCCAGCCCUCUGGGUGAGCUCCAGAGAGGACACACAGACAAGUAUCACCUAAUGCCCAUUCAUCUCCCUUUGUGGAGCUGCUUCAUCAUCACUGUUAGACAAAGAAAAAUCCUUAGAAGGGGUUACACUGCACAACCAGCACCCUCCAGCACUUUCCAGAGCUGUUCCUAAGAGGGAGAGGAGCCCUGUGAAACUUUCUGCAGUGAAUUUUCUGUUCUAUCAGCUGUAUGUACACUUUGAAGAGUGGAUUAAAUAACAGAGUCCCACUUCUCAAGCCCUAUUUACUUGACAGGCAGAAGAAGAACAAUCAGAAAAAAUGUAGAACAUUUAACCUGCAUAAGAAGAUGGUGCCAUACAGAAGAAGCUCUGAUAGAUGUGGAUGGCCCUGGGAAGGAGCCUUUGGCUGUGUGUAGGAAAUUCCAGGUGCUGCUGGAAUUCCAUGCUGUGACAUCCUCAGAGAGCCCAGGGAUGGCAGGGCCAGGGGGUACCUGGUGUGUUGGUGGGGUUUUGGUCAGACACACCACAGGCAGCCAGGGCAAAGGAAACACCAGCAGCAGGAAAGUCAGUGCUGGUGGAAGAGGUGAGGCUUGUAGGAGAAAUCUGGUGUUGCUAAACACCUUUAUCAUCUCCAACAGGUGUUGGGGUUUUUAUUUGAAGAUAAAGGUACAGCCUCUAGUAAAUCACCCUUUUAAUGUAACAUUUGCAUAAGAAAAGUCUGAAACUUGAUCAGCUCAUUACAGGAACAGUUCAGCAGGGCUCUGGCUAUGAUGCCUUAUGAUUUUAGCUUUUAUAUUAUUCAUAUAUUUGUAAUUCUGUAAUUCUUUAGUGUAUAACCAAACUCUAUAUACAGUAUUAGCUACUGUUCUCCCACUUUGGUCAGACACAACAAUUCCUCUCUAGGCCUGAGAAUCAAGGACACCUCACUGUCUCAGGGCCCGAGAGGUAUAAACAAAAGUGAGUUGGGGAGAGCAAACUUAGGGUAAAUGACUUCAUUACCUGGAGCUGUAAUUGGAACAUUAACCCCCAAUAUGCAAAUAGACCAAAUUUGUAAAAGUAUAAAACCCCAUGACCUGUCAUCGAUUUUUGGGUGUAGCCCCUUGGGGGCUUCAUCUGCCUGAAAUGUACUUGAAGGCCCUUCAAUAAAUGUAACUGCUUUUUAUUUCCUUAA